GCCGGGAUGGUGGAAUAGGUAGACACAAGGGACUUAAAAUCCCUCGGCAAUUUAACCUGCCGUGCCAGUUCGAUUCUGGUUCCCGGCA
rfam:Treponema succinifaciens DSM 2489, complete genome.